rnacentral:rRNA from 1 species
CGGGGGAGCAAGCGUUGUUCGGAUUUACUGGGCGUAAAGGGCGCGUAGGCGGUCGUGACAAGUCACUUGUGAAAUCUCCGGGCUUAACUCGGAACGGUCAAGUGAUACUGUCGGACUAGAGUACAGAAGGGGCAACUGGAAUUCUCGGUGUAGCGGUGAAAUGCGUAGAUAUCGAGAGGAACACCUGCGGCGAAGGCGGGUUGCUGGGCUGAUACUGACGCUGAGGCGCGAAAGCCAGGGGAGCGAACGGGAUUAGAUACCCCGGUAGUCCUGGCCUUAAACGAUGAAUGCUUGGUGUCUCGGGUUGUAAAGUCCCGGGGUGCCGUCGCUAACGCUUUUAGCAUUCCGCCUGGGGAGUACGGUCGCAAGACUG